AAGGCGGUGCCUAACUCGACGUUUCGCCCGAUGGUUGAUAUAGCUACGCUGAUAUCAGAAGUUGGACGGCAGGCACCUUGUUGUGCGUCAUUCGAAUUUUAUGUAGCACGUCCCGAAGGGGCUGACAUAAGUCGGUGAAUGAGCCACU
rnacentral:sRNA from 1 species